UUCUAUUUGAUUUGGCCCAAAGCGCGGCGGGGACAAGCUCGCUGGCAAUUCAUAACUACACAUAUUUUUCAAAUCGAUAUUUAACGCUGCCAUCCAAUGCAGUUGGCGGGGUUUUCGGCAGUUGCAUGUUGACAGCCAGCACACGGUGAAUGGAAUGGCAAAUGGCAAUGGCAGAAUGCAAAAAUGUCCGAUUGCAACUUUUCUAAUUAUUUUAAAUGGCAAUUUGUGUCAAAGCGUCAGCUCACUCACUUUAUGUCCCAAAAAGAGGGAACGAUUUGAUUAGCGUCCAUGGGAGACACUGAUACCAUGAUACCGGCCAUACAUACAUAUUUAUUUGUAUAUUUUGACGCCGAAAUUGCUGACUGAAACUCGGCCACGAAAUCAAAUUUGAUAUAAACAUUUUUGGGUCAGGUGAGCAUAGUGGCAGCAGCUAAAAUUUAUUCCAUGCUGUGUAUUUUUCCGGGCUACUUAAAUGCACUUGUAUGUUGUGAUUGAGAUAGAUUUCUAUACCUGAAUGUUCACUUGCAUGUUCAUCAAGUUCUUUAUAUCAUUUGGGAAAAUUUUGUGAAAAUGUUUCCUGACUUAUGCAGUUUCAUUUAUUAAUAUAGUGAUUUAGGAAUCGAACGAAAUGAAUCGCACUCGCUUGCGUAAUGAACUUUUGGUAGAUAUGUAUGUCCGUUUGUGAAGACGACCGUAUCCGUAAAUUUCCUUUCAUUUCCCGCCUCCCUGUGAGAUCAAUGGAUGUUCACUCAUUUCCCGAUAAGCUUUGAGCUCCAGAUUACAAUCCCCGAGCAGGCUUAACAUACCCAAUCUCAUUUGUUUCGCCCCACCUUCAGCCUUCCAGCUCCCAUCUCCAAGGUGCCAUAAAAAUUCGCCAAGCCGCAACAUUAAUCACAGAUUCGUUGCAUACUCCAGGGCGCUAUAUCAGUAACCAAUUAAAUUGAAAUUAAAUUUUGCCACAGCCCGCGAGAGCGAGACGGGCGACCGGGGGAGAGGGACGGAAACAGACCGGAAACGUAGCAAUUUCGUAGCUACUUAUGCGUGUGGGACCCGAAAGCUUUGGCUUUAGCUCCCCUCCGUAAUUCAAUUUAUAGCAAACCAGGAGAAAAUUGUAGCCAACAUUUUAUUUUUCGCUAUGGCUUUCCUCAUUUUUUAUUUAUUGACUGGCUGCUGCGAAUGUGUUUGUGUGCGUGCCCUCAGAAUCGGAUCUUGGCCUCCCGUCCGAAUUUUCCCUGGAUUAUAGCGAAAUGCUCCUCUGUUUUCGGCUUUCCCAAAUUGUAUUUUUCUAUCAAGAUGUAUUAAUCCACUUCUCUCUCUGUUUUUCGGCGUUCUACUCCGGAAGUUUUGGCAACACCUACUCAAAACAAAAAAAAAAAAACCGAAAAAAACGAAAAGAUGGAUGAAAUCGCUUGUGCCAUGUCUUUUCUGUGCGGUUGGGGAAAAGUUAUAUUGGUUUGCGUGACUCUCAACAAAAGUGAAAUAACAAUUGCAGCAACAACAGCAAGGACGGGCCGGUGGGAGGUGCCCAACCCCGGAUUCCACCCACCGCAACCACCCAGAAUGCCAAAAACAAACAGAAGAAAGAGCCCAGCACGGCCAACACGAAAAAAUAGAAAUAAAUUCUAAAGUGAAAUUAGUAUUUUAGUUAUCCUCUGCCUGCUCACGAGCCACACAAUAAGCCGUGUAUACAGAAAAAUUGAGUACCUGAAGAAUUUUCAGGUGGUUUGUUCGGUCCGUUUGGAUUUGGAUGCGCGGUGCAGCGGGGGGUGAUUGAGAAGUACUCAAAAAGCGCUUAGGCGCUAGGUGGGGAUAACUCCACAUUGCUUGUAAAUUGCUGUUUUGCGGAUUUCUUUCAAUCGACGGACGUUUUGUGAGUCAAAAGUAUGACGUAGAAAACAUGAUAAUUCGAGAGAAACUCGACGGAACUUUAAGGAAAGUGUGGUAUCAAUGAGGGCCUGGGAAAUUGGCUAAUAACGAAGGCUUGAACAAAUAAAUAGGUAAUACUUAUAGUAGCUUUAAAACUCAAGGUGCUACAUUUAUAAUUUAGUUUGUGCUCUUUCUUAAUAUUCAUUUAUAUUAUACUUGGUAUCUAUAUUUGAACAAGUAACCAUUUAAUUUCACUUUAUUUGAACUAUGUGCUUAACAUGUAUACAUCUUUGUAUCUUCACGAGAAGCCCUCGCUGCAACUAUCCACAAUGAACUGUUACCGGCAGCACCUAACCUUUUGCUUUUUGAAUUAUUUAGUUGCUUGGCUAGAAAGUUUCAGCUUGCCGCUUUUGUUUCGACUACAGACACAUGCCAAGUCGUUCGAGUUGUUUGAUUUGGAUGCGUGUAUGUCUGUAUGUCUGAGUCCAAUGGACGGACAUCCAAUUUAAAAUGAAAAUCUAUUUGUGAGCGAUUUGGAGCAGCUCAAAUGAAAAAAUGAAGAGCCUUGCCGUUGUCUGACAGGCCGGGUCGAAUUAAAAUUGUGACGAUAUAAACUUUUGUGGUGGAUAAAAGGUAGUUAAAUUGCUGUCUGGCUGCUCCUUCCCGGGAUUUAUCUCUUUUGUUUGUUGUUCUGCCUGUUUUUGCAGACAGCCCGUGCACAUACACAGAUACAAACGCCCACAAACACCCAAGCGCAACUAAACCGCAUUUGGACAAGCUGGGCAAAGUCAUAAGCUUUUGUUUUACUAGCCCCACCAAUGCGGUUAGACCUGCCAUUCCACACCCAUCGUGGCGCUCCAGUCCACUCGGCAAUCUCAUAAAUUGCAUGACAUGAGUUGCAUACGCGCUCACACACACACGUACACAUACUAUACAGAUAUAGAAAGUCCUGUCGCAUAAAAUAUACAAAGGGCACCAGCUGCUCUCCCACUCGCACCCGCUGGUCCGCCCAGCUGCAAUUUAUAUAUCCACACAUCCAUAUAUGCAUAUGGCCAACCCCUUUACUUGGGGAUGGAUGGAUAGAGGGCUGUGGGAAUAUGAGGA
rnacentral:sRNA from 1 species